AUGUUUUCCUUUUCACUAUUAGAUGUUGAGAGCCUAAAGUCAUCUGAUGGCUUUCAAGAGAGUGCAUUCGGCGGAGCAGGUGGCAUCCUAUUCCUCUCCUUAGAUGUCAUUGUCUAUUCUCGUGCGACCCUGACUACUCCGCGAUCUCCCGCCUGUGAUCCACCUGUGCAAGCAAAUUUUAUGCCAAGGAUAUCUCUUUAUUCUUGCGGCCAAGGCGGAAGAAGCCCUGGAUGCAAAUGGAGAGCCUCCUCUGCCAUCUCAGCAUCAGCCGUAGGACGACGCUACACCUUAGCGCGGUGGACAGCUCAAAGGCCGCUUCUGAUGAGAUCAUCAAUCUCAAAGAUAUGGACCUCUCGAACGACAAUGCCAUUGUUGUUGUAA
rnacentral:rRNA from 1 species